rnacentral:piRNA from 1 species
UAAGAACCAUCUUCUCCUGAGAGAACAUU